CGCGAAAACUUUACAAUGCUGGCAACAGCGAUAAGGGAACCUCGAGUGCCAGGUUACAAAUCUGACUGUCGAGAUGCCUAAAAAGCAUUUCAUAGCAAGGGCCGGGCAAGACCGGUGCCAGCCGCCGCGGUAACACCGGCGGCUCGAGUGGUAACCGUUAUUAUUGGGUCUAAAGGGUCUGUAGCCGGCCGGAUAAGUCUCUUGGGAAAUCUGGCAGCUCAACUGUCAGGCUUUCAGGAGAUACUGUCUGGCUCGAGGCCGGGAGAGGUGAGAGGUACUUCAGGGGUAGGGGUGAAAUCUUGUAAUCCUUGAAGGACCACCAGUGGCGAAGGCGUCUCACCAGAACGGACCUGACGGCAAGGGACGAAAGCUAGGGGCACGAACCGGAUUAGAUACCCGGGUAGUCCUAGCCGUAAACGAUACUCGCUAGGUGUCGGCCACGGUGCGACCGUGGUCGGUGCCGUAGGGAAGCCGUGAAGCGAGCCACCUGGGAAGUACGGCCGCAAGGCUGAAACUUAAAGGAAUUGGCGGGGGAGCACCACAACGGGUGGAGCUUGCGGUUUAAUUGGAGUCAACGCCGG
rnacentral:rRNA from 1 species